AAGUGCAGUAACUGCAGUCUACUGUGGUAUUUUGGAUGCAGUAAUUGCAGAAUAAUUGCAGUAUAACUGCAGCUAUACUGCAAAAUUACUGCAGUAAAAAAAAUACUGUUAUUUUGGAUGCAGUAUUUGCAGCAUACUGCAGAUAUACUGCAAUCCAACUACAGAUAUACUACAGUGUACUGCAGUAAUCCUGCACUCUGACUGCAAUAUUUUUUCGUAAGGGUCAGAAUGAUCUAAAAUGAUAAAUCCCAUAUUGAUCUUUCAUUCAGGCCAAUGUUGUGCUGUGUAGUAGGCUAAUAGUAGGCCUACUAUUAAAACAAAUAAACUGUGUCAAAAAUUCACAGGUUUCGGAUUUUCACAGGUUUUCGAUUAUUUUCAGAAAAACAACAACAUUGUAUGUUCUAAGUCCAUAACAAUGCUUAAACCACAUCAUGAGACCACUUUUGAGGUCUGGGGAAAAUCUAAGACAUUUAAUUCAGGCACCUAGCACCAUUGUUUGAUUGGCAGUGUUUCUGUAGCACAUGAGAUGGAGUUUGCAAAAGAAAUGGCCACUGGAUUGAUGGAAAUAAUCAUCAUGAUAUCAUUCUGAUAGUUUCCAGAGCACAUCAGAACAUGGCCUCUCCUGGACAGUGGUCAGCCCUAUUGUGUUCACCUACAGAGUGAUCCAAUGCCACAACCUGCUGGAUGUUGGGAAUGACACACUGCUAUGUGGUCAUAUAGAGGACCAGGAUGAGCUCAAGGCCUUCAGAAGCAACACCAAGCCCAUCAAACGCUUCAUUAUCAUUGAUGAGACAGUCAAUCAGCUCUAUGGCUCCCAGGUCACCAGGUAUUUUGAGGCCAGAAAUGUUCUCUAUAGGAUCCUCCCACUGCCCA
rnacentral:lncRNA from 1 species